rnacentral:rRNA from 1 species
GACAGAGGGUGCAAACGUUGCUCGGAAUCACUGGGCGUAAAGGGCGUGUAGGCGGGACGGUAAGUCGGGCGUGAAAUCCCUAGGCUCAACCUAGGAACUGCACUCGAAACUACCAUUCUUGAGUGUCGGAGAGGAAAGCGGAAUUCCUGGUGUAGAGGUGAAAUUCGUAGAUAUCUGGAGGAACACCGGUGGCGAAGGCGGCAUCCUGGACCAAUUCUGACGCUGAGGAGCGAAAGCCAGGGGAGCAAACGGG